AAGAGACAGCGCCGCCGGCCGUGGGGAGCGGACGCAGUGAUUUGCUCCCCCUCGUGCAGCAACCCCCACACCCAGCACCAGGUGGUAUGUGAUCCCCAGCUCAGGCCUGUGCAGACAGGAAAUUCUCCCCUGCAGCAAGUAGGGGAGGUGGGUUGUGGGAUGUGACCUCCUUCCAGAUAUCAGGCAGUGAGUGUAAACCUGCCACCUCCAGCCCUGAUCCAUUCUCACCUAGCGGCUACAGGAAGCUGUGUCUGUUCGAUUUGGUGGGAGGAGAUGUGCAGGGAGCUGUAUCUUGUCCUCCGCUUGUGAAAAACUCAAGGAUGUGGAGAAGAGUAGACCGUGGAACCCUGCUCUUCUGCAGCCAAGCUGAGGGGCAGGAUGCGUGUGGGACAGUGGUAGAGAAGCAGGGGAUAGACUCAUAGGCUGCAACAAAGGUGACUCUGUCCCUGGACACUGCCUCCGUACUUUCUCCUUGCUUCACUGGCCACAGCAUCUCCCUCCAGCCCUCGCUAUGUGCCUCUGCCAUCUUCACCCAUCAUGGAGCAGAGGUGAGGAGAGGCAGCCUGGGAAUAUGGAGACCAGUGAAGGACCAGGCCUGGAGAGCACAGGGUCCUACCUGGGCAUCCAGCAGAGGAGCCCCUAAAGGCCAGGAGCACCCCAAGAGGAGGGAGGGCAGCCAGCCUCCAUUGACGGCGAGCCUCCAGCCCUCUCCUACUUUGAUCACCAUUUCUCUCCAGGCUUUCUGCCUCCGAGAUGUGGCACCAUAGUGCGGUGCCCUGUGGCUUCACCGCCCUACUUCCACCUCCGCCCAGCCUGUAAUGUUUAUAUAAGCAGCCUCAAGGACCAAGAACCAUCUGCGAAAGGACACACACAGGAAAUUCAUAAAAGAAAUCUGAAUGGAUAAAACCAUGAAAAAAAGUAUGCUUCAUUAGUAAUUAAAGAAAGGCAAAUAGAGCUGGAAGCAUUUUUCCCUUAGCAAACCAUAACAGAAAAAAAUAAGACCCAAUAUUGGCAAAGAGACUACUGAAAAAACAUUCCCAUACAUUGCGUGUGGGAGUAUACAUCGGUGCAGGCUUCCUGGAUGACAGUUGGGUGAUAUGUGUCAUGUGGCCUAAAAGCCUCCAUGUCAUUUGACCUACGAAUUCUAUCUUUGGGAAUUUAUCCUAAGAAAAUACUUAAGGAUUUAGUUAGUGAUAAGAUGUUCAUCCCAGCAUUGCAAUGGAGAAAAAUGGGAAGCAAUGGUUUGGUUGGGAAUUUAUUCCUUUUCUGCUGUAACGAAAGUUUGCAAUAGGGGAUUGCUUAAGUAAAUUAUUGUAUCUCCAUCCAGAUGGUGGAGUACCGCGCAGACAUUAAAAGUCAUGUAAAAGAACAUCUGACUGAAAGAAAAAUGCUCCUUGAAUAUUAAAAGGUUGUAAAAAUAGUGCAUGUUAUGUGAUUUCAAUUUUGUUUUUUAAAAUAUGGGUGUAUGCUUGUAUACGUAGAGCAGAUAAAAAAGACGGAAGGCAUACUAAAAAAUGUUGAGUGGUUAUCUUUGUAUGGUGGAACAAAGUCACUGUAAUUUUCAUCUUUGGUUUUUCUGUAAUUUCCAAAUUUUCCACAUUUUGUAUUUCAUAUAAUA
rnacentral:lncRNA from 1 species